UACGUAAGGGUGCGAGCGUUGUCCGGAAUUAUUGGGCGUAAAGAGCUCGUAGGCGGUGUGUCACGUCGUUCGUGAAAACCUGCAGCUUAACUGUGGGCGUGCGGUCGAUACGGGCAUCACUGGAGUUCGGCAGGGGAGACUGGAAUUCCUGGUGUAGCGGUGAAAUGCGCAGAUAUCAGGAGGAACACCGGUGGCGAAGGCGGGUCUCUGGGCCGAUACUGACGCUGAGGAGCGAAAGCGUGGGGAGCAAACAGG
rnacentral:rRNA from 1 species